CCUACGGGAGGCAGCAGUAGGGAAUCUUCCACAAUGGGCGAAAGCCUGAUGGAGCAACGCCGCGUGAGUGAUGAAGGCCUUCGGGUUGUAAAACUCUGUCAUUCGGGACGAACCGGAGUCUGAGGAAAUGCAGACUCUCUGACGGUACCGGAGGAGGAAGCCCCGGCUAACUACGUGCCAGCAGCCGCGGUAAUACGUAGGGGGCAAGCGUUGUCCGGAUUCACUGGGCGUAAAGCGCGCGCAGGCGGUGAUGUAAGUCUGAGGUGAAAACCCGAAGCUCAACUUCGGGACUGCCUUGGAUACUGCGUCACUUGAGGAUAGGAGAGGCAAGGGGAAUUCCACGUGUAGCGGUGAAAUGCGUAGAGAUGUGGAGGAACACCUGUGGCGAAGGCGCCUUGCUGGCCUAUUCUGACGCUGGAGNGCGAG
rnacentral:rRNA from 1 species